UUUCUAGACAUUAUGAUUUUGAUAUGUUUUACUAAAGGGGGUUAAUAGAGUGCCAACGAUAUAACCGUGAAACUUUAGUAAUACUAAAUAAUAACACAAAUUCAUGCAAAUUCCAUUGCUUUCUAUUGUUUACUGAUUAGUGUUUCACGGAUUAAUUGUUUGCAUUCUUAGCAGGGCCAACUCAAUGAUUAUUGUCUAAAAAACAAAAUAGGUUACGCAAUACAUAGCGCCCUAUUUGUUAUUUAAGCUAUUUAGCAUUCCGUCGUUUAUGUUCUGCUAUAAUAAUAAUUAUGAUGAUGAUGUUGAUAAUAAUAAUAACCUUUCUUGAGUAUCCUCCCAAGUUUAAAAAUGGCAAAAAAGUAAGCCGCUAGCUUGAACGAGUUGAAUAAACCCGUUACAACUGGUUAUUACCGAACCAGCUGCGACCGCUAGUCAACCCGUUGUAGCAGAUUCAUCGCCAAGUAUAAUACUUGUACUUCUGGUAUAUUCAGAAGCCGUUGUAACGGGUUGAAGCUGAACCAGUCGUAGCGGGUUCGACUGUAACGGGUUAGUCAACCCGUUGUAGCAGGUUCAACGCCAAGUAUAAUACGACUUGUACUUUUGGUAUAUCCUGAAGCCGUUGUAACGGGUUGAAGCUGAACCAGUCGUAGCGGGUUCAGUAAUAACCAAGUUGUAACGAGUGUCAGUUGUAACGGGUUUAUUCAACCCGUUCUAGCGGCUUACUUUUUUUUGCCAUUGUUGUGGUGCUGAAGUAGUGACCAAGACAUCGAUGAUAAUGUUGUACUGGGUGACGCGGUGUCCUGGGUAUCUCUACUCCGUUGACUAAUUGCAUAUAAACGAGACAGACAGACAACUUUAUCGAAACACGUUUUACAGGAAAGCAAAAUAAAACAAAGAAAAGAAGUAAAAAGUAUUAAAAAAGAAUUCAUGAAACCAUGGUUACCAUGAUGUAGAAAACUAUCCUCCUCAUUACUGGAUUCUACAACAGAAAUAUGGUUAAAUGGUUCCUCAAAGGAGAAUAAGUACACCUUUUUAGCAUCACUUUUCACUACAACUGUCUUCACCCAAUCUAAAAACUUAUUCA